rnacentral:rRNA from 1 species
UAGAUACCCUGGUAGUCCACACCGUAAACGAUGAAUGCUAAGUGUUGGAGGGUUUCCGCCCUUCAGUGCUGCAGCUAACGCAAUAAGCAUUCCGCCUGGGGAGUACGACCGCAAGGUUGAAACUCAAAGGAAUUGACGGGGGCCCGCACAAGCGGUGGAGCAUGUGGUUUAAUUCGAAGCAACGCGAAGAACCUUACCAGGUCUUGACAUCUUUUGACCAUCUUAGAGAUAAGAUUUUCCCUUCGGGGAC